GAAUGCUGAAGCGUUUAUUGGAGCUCGUGUUGGCGGGUUAUAGAAACACAGAGCAGCUUUACAGAGAGAAGGAACACAUCAGCAGAUGAUGAUCAAACAAACCCCCCCCCCCCCCGUCUAAUUAUCAUUACCCAUUGCAAACUGUUCUUUUGCAGAGUAAUUGAGAAUCAUCUCCCACUUUGUGAAUGUUUCUCUGGUUCGGGUCGGCGGCUCGGGAAGCCCGCAUGUUCAGUGGAGCGGGAGCCACCGGAACCGCAACAUCUGGUG
ensembl:lncRNA